GUUGUGUUUUAUUUUUGCUUCCAGACAUGGUCACAUGUCACCCAGGCUGGCUUCAAACUUAUUUUUAGCCAAAGAUGAUCUUGAACUUCUUCCUUUGUCCACCGCUUGAAGGCAUGUGCCACCAUGCCCAGUUCGAAAGUGAACUUGGAAUUCAGAAAAAACACUCCCGAGGCCACAGCUCGCCUGAAGCCAGCUCUGUAGCGACCACUAAGGAGACCCCAGGACUCCUUCCAGAUCCAGUCCUCCCCCUCUGUGAAUGCACACGUGGCUGUGCAGGUCCUGAUAGCAGCUUGACGGCACCAUGAAGUACGAAGGGAAACCUUGGCACUCUAAAAGUCCAGUUCCCCCCUGUAAGCUAGGAGUUUCCACCGUGAGAUAUUCUCAGUUCUGCAAAAUCACACACUCCAACAUCAGAGCUGAUGGACGGAGCAUAGCCGGGACUAGCCAGUCAAGGUCUUUGCCCUGUGACCAGUGUGCUAAUAAAAUGGCAGUUCUGGGCUGGGGAUGUACCUUAGUACCUGCAAGGCCCUGUGUUUCAUCCUUAGCACGGAAUGCAUAUAGAAAUAUAAAUAUGAGAGAUUAAGGAUUCAUACCUCUUGAGACCAGUAGCCCAGGUGGCCUGUGGUUAGGAGCUGUCAUUGGAAUGUUAAAAAUACAAACAAAUAGUUUUGUGGAACUG